CCUACGGGUGGCAGCAGAAGGGAAUCUUCCACAAUGGGCGAAAGCCUGAUGGAGCAACGCCGCGUGGGUGAAGAAGGUCUUCGGAUCGUAAAACCCUGUUGUUAGAGAAGAAAGUGCGUGCGAGUAACUGUUCACGUUUCGACGUUAUCUAACCAGAAAGCCCCGGCUAACUACGUGCCAGCAGCCGCGGUAAUACGUCGGUGGCAAGCGUUAUCCGGAUUUAUUUGGCGUAAAUGGAACGCAGGCGGGCUGUUAAGUCUGAUGUGAAAGCCUUCGGCUUAACCGGAGUAGUGCAUUGGAAACUGGGAGACUUGAGUGCAGAAGAGGAGAGUGGAACUCCAGGUGUAGCGGUGAAAUGCGUAGAGAUAAGGAAGAACACUAGUGGCGAAAGCGGCUCGCUGGGCUGUAACUGACGCUGAGGUGCGAAAGCGUGGGUAGCAAACAGGAUUAGAUACCCGAGUAGUC
rnacentral:rRNA from 1 species